CUUUUUUUUUUUUUUUUUUUAGUAGAGACAGGGUUUUGCCAUGUUGGCCAGGCUGGUCUCAAACUCCUGACUUCAGGUGAUCCACCCGCCUUGACCUCUCAAAGUGUUGGGAUUACAGGCAUGAGCCACCGCACCCAGCCAGGUCUGUUAAAUUUAAAGCCCAUGAUGUUAGCCCGGAUCAGUCCUGUUUCUCAAGGUCUCUCCUACCUGAGAUGUGCUAAGGAGGAGAAGGGGGUCUCUCUCUUAAUGGGGCAGUACAUGUGCAUUGCUCUCAUCACUGCCUUGGUCCUUAGCUCUCCGCUCAAAGGAGGGCUGGCCUAUGGAUGAGACCUGGGUUUCAUUCUCUGAAGUCUCCUGCAUCAAAUCAAUGUCCAAUGCCAUGAUUAUU
rnacentral:lncRNA from 1 species